AGUAUGACUAUUGAUUGCUACUCUGCCUUGCAGCCUGACAAGCAAGUUCUGGUAUAAUGACAAUUUAUUCUGAGGGCAAAGGCUUUCAGUUGUGUGGUAUCACCAAUUUUUAGAUAUGUGGUUUUGGACCAUCACUUUCUGAACCUUCAUCACUCACAUAGGAACAAAAUAAGAAGAUGCUUUUGUGGUAAUUCAGAGAAGGAGAAUAGAGAAACAACUGUCUGUGCUGCUAUAACUAAGAUAAACAAUCUCUCUGUCAUCAAGUUGACUCCAUGGAGACCUCCUGGGUCUUAGAACAUAUAAGUUAAACAUUCCUUGUUUGUUUGGUCUUAUAUUUAGUUUAGAAUGUCAGACAAAUAAAAUAGUAAUAAUGUCA